CAGUAGCCACGGUAAUACGGAGGGUGCAAGCGUUAAUCGGAAUUACUGGGCGUAAAGCGCACGCAGGCGGUUUGUUAAGUCAGAUGUGAAAUCCCCGAGCUUAACUUGGGAACUGCAUUUGAAACUGGCAAGCUAGAGUCUUGUAGAGGGGGGUAGAAUUCCAGGUGUAGCGGUGAAAUGCGUAGAGAUCUGGAGGAAUACCGGUGGCGAAGGCGGCCCCCUGGACAAAGACUGACGCUCAGGUGCGAAAGCGUGGGGAGCAAACAGGAUUAGAUACCCGCGUAGUCCCUGUCUCUUAUAA
rnacentral:rRNA from 1 species